UAACAAGGUUUCCGUAGGU
rnacentral:ncRNA from 2 species